rnacentral:lncRNA from 1 species
AUAAUCAUAGGUGAUGUCCCUCCCAUAGCUCCUGCCUAUCCUCCUUCUAACGGAGAUGAUCCAGAUAAUUGGUAUUCACCUCCUCCUGAACCACUAUGUCCUCUUCCUCCUCCACCGCCGCCUCCUGCAGAGUCACCAUGUCCCCCUCCCAUGCCUCCAUCCCCACCGCCCUCACCACCACCUCCACCACCACCCUCACCCUCACCCCCACCACCACCACCACCACCUAAAGUUCGUCCCAAACACUCACCACCCCCACCAUCCACCCCAGGUUAUCUUACCGCAGAACUAAGAAAAGUCAUAAAAGUCAUUCAAAAUUUCAAAAAGACAAUAACUAGCGACCCCUUUGGCGUAACAAAAACAUGGGUAGGCAACGACAUUUGCAGAAAGUACGUCGGAUUCACUUGCUACAAAAACCACGUUGUUGCCAUCGACUUCAAUGGUUUCCGCUUCAACGGCAGUCAACUGUCCUUGAGGAAGUUCAUUGAAGAAAUCAAGACUUUAGUCAUCAUCCAUCUCAACUCCAACAACUUCACUGGCUCGGUACCUGAAAUAUCAACCAAAACGCACCCUAAACUUUUCGAACUCGAUUUGAGUAAUAACA